CACGUUCAUCCUAUCAAGGACGGAAGUAGCAUAACGCGAAGGAACGCACC
rnacentral:ncRNA from 10 species